GCUUGUGGCUGGAGCCUUUGGAGCAAGGAGGGAGGCUCCCUAGGUUACAGCCGAAAGAACCAGGUCAAGGCUAGGGCCUAUUACUGGCUACAGCUGGCAACAGGAGUUCAGGAGGAACCCUACUGAUUUAAUUCCUCAGGGGCAAUUAAGCCUCAGAAGGGUGAGAAAAGUGGUUUAACUUGGAUCUCACCUAUAAGAACUGCACCAGCCAAUGAUCUGUGCACCCACAGAUGGGGCUGAGGAUUUGCCUCUGAAUUCUCUCAGAAAGAGAGGGGACCAUGUUUCAAAAACACAUUAUACAGCGUCACAAUUUUGCAUGUGACAAAUUUGUUGUUUCAAGCCUCUGAUGCCCUAAAGCAGAGGUUCCCAAAUGAAGACUCGUGUGUAAUCCCAUUGAACUCACACGCAAAAAAAACCUGUUGGUGUUGGGCUAAAAUUUUGUUGGGAACAUUUCUCAGGUCCAGGAUGGAUUUUCUAGUCAUGGGGGAGAGAGAGCAAGAGCGCGCCUGAGACCUCCCACAUCCCAGUAAAUAAAUUACAGAAGAAUUGCUUAAGAAAUCUUUGCUACCACUUGAAGAAAGUCAAGGGAAUUCGCUGCAGCUGUUGUCUGCAAAUCCAUGGUCUGAUAGAGUGAAGUACCAGAAGAGCAUUAAUCCGCCCUCAGAGUUUUAUAGAGAUGACUGCAUUGUGAAAUGGGAAAUUUAAAAUUCACACAGCAUUGCCAAGUGAAGACAAUUUUUUGUUGAUGUGUUUUUUUAUUUUAUUCUAUUGUAAAUGUUAAAAAGGUUACACUGAAGAAUGUUAUUGAUAAUACUUAAAAAUGGUGGCUGGAUAGCCAUAUAAAACAGCCUACUAAAAAUAUUGUAUAAAAUGGUUGAGAUACAAAAUAAGCUUUAACCUAAAGCAUGAACAUAAUAAUUUUUGAAAUGCAGAGGUGGGAUGGGACUCAUAGAACUAAAAUCACUGGACCAGAUUUUGCUCUAGCCACACAGGAGUAAAUCCAGAGUAAUGCCACUGAAGUCGGUGGUGUUACUCCAGAUUUACACCAGUGUAAAUGAGAGCAGAAUCAGUCUCAUUAUUUUUACAUGAAAUUAUUACAAGGAGGACCUAAAUCAAUACUAAGGAUCAGAUUCUGCUCUCAGCUACAAGGCUGUAAACCUGGAGUAACUCCAUAUUUACCCCAGUAUAAAUGAGAGUAGAAUAUGUCCCUACAUUUGAGCUCCUACCCCUCCCUGGACUUACCACUAGUGAAAUGACAAUAAAGAAGUGUCUUACUUUUACACAGGCCUUUAGAGUAUCUCUAAAACCUGUGCUAGUCUGCAGGAUGACAUAGGAAAAAAGAAGUAAGCAUGUUUGCUUGCUUUAGUUGUGUAUGUACGUUUCCUAAACCAAUGGAAUGUUAAUCCCUUCCCUAUGAAACAAAUAAUGUAACUAACACUAGGGAAUAUUUUUCAUGCUGAAAAUUCAAAAUACCUAGAAAUGAAAUAUCCCACAGUGCAUCUGUGAAGUUUCUGUUUAUAAAAUGGAAUGACUGGGUUUUGAUUUUCCUGUAGAAGUGGCAGCUGCAAUAUUAAUUUAUGCUGUGCAGAAAAGACAUCCAUUCCAUUUCUCACU